AGAGAUAGUUCUCGCAACAGUCAAUGAUCUGCUAUAUUUUAAACCAUGACUUAAAAAGGGUUGGCUUCAUGAGUACUUCCCAUAGUCAAUUCUAUGCUAUAUGAAUGCAUCUCUUUUGUGGCGUAUGUACUGUAAAAGGGUAUUACCUGAUAAAGAUGACGAUGAGAUUUGAUAUAAAGCCUGGAAUACUUAGUGGACUUCGAUGAAGAUGCUGCUAGAGAAGAAAAGGUACAUGUUAGCAUAACUGAUAUAUAUAUUCCUCUAUCUGAAUCUCCAUGUUAACAACAAAUUAUAUACAAUGUGCUUAUCUGAAUCUCCAUGUUAACAACAAAUUAUAUACAAUGUGCUCCUUUGAAGAGAUCUGAAAUUUAACCAUUUCAUAUAUUUAGGAUUGGCUAUUAAAAUGAAAAAAAAGUAUAUUAAUGAAAAGUUAAGAAUUAAUUAUGCCAGCGCACUCACACCAAAUGCAUUGGACUCAUUGAUAGAAGUUACUGUAGCAGUUUAUACAUUACAGAACUAAUGAUAAACAUUCUAUCCCCAUUUUCAUUAAAUAUUUUUCCUUCAUAAACAAAAGUUUAUACGCAUUUGGCAAUUAGAUUCCAAAUCAAAAUGAGUUAACAUUUGCAGAUCUUAGUACAACUCCAAUGAGAUACAUAUAUACAACACUUCUACGCAUGCUCAUCAAAGAUGCUUCAAGUAAUAUUUAAACAACUAAUGACUUGUAAGAUCGACUGUCCAAGCGGCCUUAUAAAUCUGAACAAUAACCAUUACCUCAAAUAGGAAAUGAAUGUAUGGACUACAAAUUUUUAUAAUGCAUGAAAGCACUUCUACGUAGUCUCCUUGUAUGAGUUUGGAACAAAUUAAAGAGAUAUACAAAGAGAUUCGGUUAAAACACAAAAGAAAAAUAGAGAAUAAUUACCUCGUCCACAUAUCGAAGCAGACGUGGUGAUAUUAGACCCCUUCCUUCUGGCUUACUUUCUGACAAACACCAAAAUAUAAGAAUCAUAAUAAAUUACACACUUUUGGAGAUACUCACAAUCGACGGUAACAUAUCGAGAAGCUUCAUCAGAGACAGUCACAAUGGACGGUGCCUGACAGUGAGCUGCUAGAAUCGCCGAGUCUAGCAGUUGUUGAAGUCAUGUUGCCCGCAUGUAGGUCCUUUAUUAAACGUUUUGGAAUUGUUCUCAUGACAUGAAUAAAAUUUCUACAUUUUUUCGGUACGAUUAUGAAAGUUAACUUGUGAUGUUCCACAGGCCCUCUUAUUGAAAAUGGAAAGAACUCUCAACGAUAUAUCAGAUACACACUUUAGGAAUUAUUUGAAGGAAAAUCUGGAGUGAGCCGAUGAUGUAGUGUUUAUAAGGAGGAACCUUUUGUGUUGUUUGUGUGUUUGUAUGUGUAGUUUGCGGUUUUGUUCACUAUUCAUGCAAAUAAAAAUGGUUUGUCAUUUCCUGCCCUACAUUAUGCAUAUAUUGAUCUCCUUUGAUGAGUUUAUUUCAAUGUGUGAAUAUGUCUCUGCUCACCCUGUUGGCACCCAAUUACUUUCAAAGUGGCAGUCAACUCUAGGUCGAUGCGUGAAAUGAAGUAGAGGAAAAGGGUGAAUGGGCGAUACUAAUGGUAAAAUGGAAACUAAUCUUUCAACCAACCAAAUUUUCAAUAAAACUAUAGCAAGAGUCGUCAAUCAAAUGUCCAAUCCUAAUACCAAGCGGAGGUUGUUUGGCUCAUGCGUGUCCACUAAUGGCAUUUCUUUCAAAACAUCUAAUACAACCUUAGAAAUUAUGCCUGUAGGUGGGUGUAAUCCUUUUUAAACUUCAAGAUCCGUUUUAAAAUUUAAAACACUCAGGUUGGCGUCAUACCUCUCCAAAGGUUUAUGAGAAUAGUCAGACCAAACAGUUUGGUGUCAUAUGUACGUUUGAUGAAAUUGAACAGCUAACGUCAUUUGAAGAACAGGGCCAUGGCCAUGGAACCUUGGAUUGGCAGCGAUGUAGAGAACAGGGCCAUGCCCAUGGCCACAUAUAUUUUCAGGUAGUGGUUUGAUCUUCUAAUUUAUAAAACAACAAGUAUAUAAUCCCCAUCCCCUCAUAUGAAAGCGCAUUACAUCCUCUCACCUAGCUCUCAUUGAGAUAUUUGUUUUGACAUCUAACGCAUCCCAAACCAUACAUAGUAAUGACAUAAUAAUAUGAUUAAAAAUGAAAAAUUUUCAUAAUGAACACGGCUUUUUAUUUUACGUAUUGCGGUAUGAAAAUAUUAGAAGGUGGCUAUAGUGUAAGUUUAAGAACUGAAAUUAUCUUUUGGUUGUUUUUCGUGGGGUAUCAACCUCUUAAUUUAGUCAAAUGGAAUGGACUUCUAUAAUAGAAAUCAAUAUGCCAAGAAGCGAUGAAACCCGAUGGGAAUUUAUCGUAACAAAAUGUAUUACCAAGUGAUGCUUCCAUUAGAGCCAGGAGCCUGUGUUGGUUUAGUUAUAAGGAACACUCAACUUGGACACCAGAAUAGCCUCAAACGUUUUUUUUUUUUUUUUUUUGUGUUUGUUUUUCAUACAAAUUAUUGUAAAGAAUCAUACAACCUAGAUUAAUUCUAUCAACUGGUUUGAAUUUCAUAAAAAAUAAAUGGAAGUAUAUAUAUAAACUAAUUACUUCAAAUGGAAGUAAUGCAACUUCAACUGAUAGAUUAAGAUAUCAACCCUUUGUGUUUGUUUUUGGUCAUUUAUAGGCAAAAUUCUUGACACUAUUGGUGAUUGUCCCCUGGGCUUUGGAUUUUGUAGUUCAUGACUACGUUCUCAUGCCAUUUUUAGACAGGUA
rnacentral:lncRNA from 1 species